rnacentral:miRNA from 1 species
GUAUAUCAGACUACGGUCU